rnacentral:rRNA from 1 species
AUGGUCAGCUACUGGAAAGAUUUAUUGGUUGGGGAUGGGCUCGCGGCCUAUCAGCUUGUUGGUGAGGUAAUGGCUCACCAAGGCGUCGACGGGUAGCCGGCCUGAGAGGGUGACCGGCCACACUGGGACUGAGACACGGCCCAGACUCCUACGGGAGGCAGCAGUGGGGAAUAUUGCACAAUGGGCGCAAGCCUGAUGCAGCAACGCCGCGUGAGGGAUGACGGCCUUCGGGUUGUAAACCUCUUUUAGCAGGGAAGAAGCGAAAGUGACGGUACCUGCAGAAAAAGCGCCGGCUAACUACGUGCCAGCAGCCGCGGUAAUACGUAGGGCGCAAGCGUUAUCCGGAAUUAUUGGGCGUAAAGAGCUCGUAGGCGGUUUGUCGCGUCUGCUGUGAAAUCCGGAGGCUCAACCUCCGGCCUGCAGUGGGUACGGGCAGACUAGAGUGCGGUAGGGGAGAUUGGAAUUCCUGGUGUAGCGGUGGAAUGCGCAGAUAUCAGGAGGAACACCGAUGGCGAAGGCAGAUCUCUGGGCCGUAACUGACGCUGAGGAGCGAAAGGGUGGGGAGCAAACAGGCUUAGAUACCCUGGUAGUCCACCCCGUAAACGUUGGGAACUAGUUGUGGGGUCCAUUCCACGGAUUCCGUGACGCAGCUAACGCAUUAAGUUCCCCGCCUGGGGAGUACGGCCGCAAGGCUAAAACUCAAAGGAAUUGACGGGGACCCGCACAAGCGGCGGAGCAUGCGGAUUAAUUCGAUGCAACGCGAAGAACCUUACCAAGGCUUGACAUAUACGAGAACGGGCCAGAAAUGGUCAACUCUUUGGACACUCGUAAACAGGUGGUGCAUGGUUGUCGUCAGCUCGUGUCGUGAGAUGUUGGGUUAAGUCCCGCAACGAGCGCAACCCUCGUUCUAUGUUGCCAGCACGUAAUGGUGGGAACUCAUGGGAUACUGCCGGGGUCAACUCGGAGGAAGGUGGGGAUGACGUCAAAUCAUCAUGCCCCUUAUGUCUUGGGCUUCACGCAUGCUACAAUGGCCGGUACAAAGGGCUGCAAUACCGCGAGGUGGAGCGAAUCCCAAAAAGCCGGUCCCAGUUCGGAUUGAGGUCUGCAA